GAGCAGUUGUUCAGAUUCAUCUUCUGUGGGCAGCAUUAAAGAGAGCGACUCACCCGCGUCUGCGAGAGAUUCAAAGAGAAACGGCGAGCAAACAGGUCACACUCAGAGCUCUGCACCCUCCACCUCUGUGUGAAUCAUUUCAACUCAUAAUGCAAGUCUUAAAAUUAAUACUCAACGGGUGCUGUUUCUUUAAUCAAAAACGCUGCCACAUAUUUCUGACUGGGAGAACUGGACACAAACUGGAUCCUGAGAUGCACAGCCGUGUAAAUACAGUAUUACAGAAGUCGUGUGUCGGCAGACGUCUCGCUUCUUUUACUUUCAGUUGCUCUUGAUAAUUGACUUUCAGGUAGUGAAUCAAAGUUGAUUCAACAUCUCAGGCCCACACACACAUCAGAAAGUAAAAAGAUGACAUUAAAGUCAACAUGACAUCAUAAUUCCUGAAAAUGUGCUCAUCCUCAGGC